AGAGUUUGAUCCUGGCUCAGGAUAAACGCUGGCGGCGUGCCUAACACAUGCAAGUCGAACGCCCUCACGCAAGUGAGGGAGUGGCGGACGGGUGAGGAACACGUGGGUUAUCUACCUUGAGGUGAGGAAUACCGGCGAGAAAUCGCCGACAAAACCGCAUACGCUUCGCAAGAAGCAAAGUCGCAAGACGCCACAAGAUGAGCCUGCGCCCGAUUAGCUAGCUGGUGGGGUAAAAGCCUACCAGGGCGACGAUCGGUAGCUGGUCUGAGAGGACGAUCAGCCACACUGGGAUUGAGAACGGCCCAGACUCCUACGGGGGGCAGCAGUGAGGAAUUUUCGUCAAUGGGGGCAACCCUGAACGAGCAACGCCGCGUGCAGGAAGAAGGUUUUCGGAUCGUAAACUGCUUUUCUGUGGGAAGAGAACGGACGGUACCACAGGAAGAAGCCCCGGCUAACUACGUGCCAGCAGCCGCGGUAAUACGUAGGGGGCGAGCGUUGUCCGGAGUUACUGGGCGUAAAGGGCGUGCAGGCGGUGCAGUAAGUUUGGAGUGACAGUACCCGGCUUAACUGGGUAAGGACUUUGAAAACUGCUGGACUUGAGGGCCAGAGAGGGACAUAGAAUUCCGGGUGGAGUGGUGAAAUGCGUAGAUAUCCGGAGGAAUACCAAAGGCGAAGGCAGUGUCCUGGCUGGCAUCUGACGCUGAGGCGCGUAAGCUAGGGGAGCGAACAGGAUUAGAUACCCUGGUAGUCCUAGCCGUAAACGAUGACCACUAGAUGUGCGGGGUAUCGACCCCCUGCGUGUCGGAGUUAACAUUUUAAGUGGUCCGCCUGGGGAGUACGGUCGCAAGAUUAAAACUUAAAGGAAUUGACGG
rnacentral:rRNA from 1 species